GUUUGAUCCUGGCUCAGGACGAACGCUGGCGGCGUGCUUAACACAUGCAAGUCACGGGGGCCCGACCGGCGAACGGGUGCGUAACACGUGAGCAAUCUGCCGAUCCCCAUCGUCCGGGUAAUACCGCAUACGUUCACUGGACGGCAUCGUCUUGGUGAGGAAACCUCCGGGGGAAAUCGAGGCGCUCGCGGCCUAUCAGCUAGUUGGCGGGGUAAUGGCCCACCAAGGCUACGACGGGUAGCUGGUCUGAGAGGAUGCCCAGCCACAUUGGGACUGCGACACGGCCCAGACUCCUACGGGAGGCAGCAGUGGGGAAUAUUGCGCAAUGGAGAAACUCUGACGCAGCGACGCCGCGUGUGGGAUGAAGCCUUUCGGGGCGUAAACCACUGUUGCCCGGGACGAAACUCCUUUUUGAGAGGAUUGACGGUACCGGGUGAGGAAGCACCGGCUAACUCUGUGCCAGCAGCCGCGGUAAUACAGAGGGUGCGAGCGUUGUCCGGAAUCACUGGGCGUAAAGGGUGAGUAGGUGGCAAGGUAAGUCGAAGGUGAAAUCCGGGGCUCAACCCCGGAUCUGCCAUGCGAACUGCCUAGCUAGCAAAAGACGACCCGCACAAGCGGUGGAGCAAUGUGGUUUAAUUCGACGCAACGCGAAGAACCUUACCUAGGCUUGACAUGCAGGAGAAAGCUCGCAGAAACGUGAGCCCCUCUUCGGAGUUCCUGCACAGAUGCUGCAUGGCUGUCGUCAGCUCGUGUCGUGAGAUGUUGGGUUAAGUCCCGCAACGAGCGCAACCCUCGCCCUUAGUUACCAGCGGGUAAAGCCGGGGACUCUAGGGGGACUGCCGGUGCCAAACCGGAGGAAGGUGGGGAUGACGUCAAGUCAUCAUGGCUCUUACGUCUAGGGCUACACACGUGCUACAAUGGCCCGGACAGAGGGUCGCCAACUCGCGAGAGUGAGCCAAUCCCCAAACCGGGCCUCAGUUCGGAUUGUAGUCUGCAACUCGACUACAUGAAGCUGGAAUCGCUAGUAAUCGUGGAUCAGCUACGCCACGGUGAAUACGUUCCCGGGCCUUGUACACACCGCCCGUCACGCCAUGGAAGUUGUGAGCGCCCGAAGUCGGUGUCG
rnacentral:rRNA from 1 species